GGAGAUCCCUCCUUUGGAGUUUUCUAGCAAGCCUCGGAUAAGGGGCUGAACAGAAUUUUCCUGUUCUCAUUUGUGCAAGUUGGAGAUGUUGCAGCUCAGAUCACCAACUAAGAAUGCAGGAAUUCUGCCACUGGAUCCAAUUUCACUAGAGUUCCAAGGUAGAUAAGAUUGGAGAAAUAGAAAGAUUUUGGUCCAGCUUCUUUGUUCAAGAUCACAGCGGAGGGGCAGUGUGACAAAAUGGAGCCUGACAUGGAAGUAUGUGUGAAGCAAAGAUGUGUAAUUGAAUUCCUUCAUGCAAAUAAAAUGGCACCCACUGACACUGCUAGAUGCUUGCUGUACAUUUAUGGAAAUUGCAAAGUGAAUACUGACACAAUGUGGGGUGAGUGGUGAAACACAGUGAAACAGUGGUUCAGCUCUGCUGGUGCAAAAUUUUAUGAGCAUAAUAUGUAGGCUCUUGUUCAUUGCUGGGGAAAACACAGAGCUAAUGAUGGUGACUAUGUUGAAAAAUAGUGUGUUAUAGCUGAGAAUUUGAUUUAUCAAAUAGUGUUAUUGAGCUCUUUGUAUCUGUUGUAGUUUCCAUGAACAUAAGGCAUUACUCUUGGAGUGCCCUACAUGUGUUAUAAUAAAUCAGUCCUUGACAUAUGAAAUGACAGACAUCUCUGAAUUGCUCUGAAAACCACAUCUGAGUCAAAGCUAUGAAAAUAUGAUUUGAUCGUAAAGCCACUGCAGAUUUUUUCUAUCUAUAGUGAGUUUUUCAGAUUUCUUUAAUGUGUAAAGAUUCAGAGUUAAAGGGAAUUUAAUUAGCAUCAAUUUCAUUCCCUAAAAUUAGAUAAAAUAUCAUUUUACUGUAAUGUGUAAAACAGACUGCAGUCUUAAUGUUACUAAUAAAAUGGUUUGUAAUGGAUGCAGUGUCAGUUGACCCUGUGAACUCAAAAUACCUGUAUGACAUCUAUGAGCUGUAAGAAAACAUUACUUGGAAUAAAUGGCAUAUAAAUCCCUGCAAAGCCUUAACAAAAAGUCAGUCUCUGAAAACACAAAAAAUAGACUUAGUAGGUUUUAUAUUGUUGGUAAUAACAGGUAUAUUUUUAAUAAAAUGAGA